CCUGGAUUCAGCGGCGGACGGGUGAGUAAUGCCUAGGAAUCUGCCUGGUAGUGGGGGAUAACGUCCGGAAACGGGCGCUAAUACCGCAUACGUCCUGAGGGAGAAAGUGGGGGAUCUUCGGACCUCACGCUAUCAGAUGAGCCUAGGUCGGAUUAGCUAGUUGGUGGGGUAAAGGCCUACCAAGGCGACGAUCCGUAACUGGUCUGAGAGGAUGAUCAGUCACACUGGAACUGAGACAUGGUCCAGACUCCUACGGGAGGCAGCAGUGGGGAAUAUUGGACAACGGGCGAAAGCCUGAUCCAGCCAUGCCGCGUGUGUGAAGAAGGUCUUCGGAUUGUAAAGCACUUUAAGUUGGGAGGAAGGGCAGUAAGUUAAUACCUUGCUGUUUUGACGUUACCAACAGAAUAAGCACCGGCUAACUUCGUGCCAGCGGCCGCGGUAAUACGAAGGGUGCAAGCGUUAAUCGGAAUUACUGGGCGUAAAGCGCGCGUAGGUGGUUCAGCAAGUUGGAUGUGAAAUCCCCGGGCUCAACCUGGGAACUGCAUCCAAAACUACUGAGCUAGAGUACGGUAGAGGGUGGUGGAAUUUCCUGUGUAGCGGUGAAAUGCGUAGAUAUAGGAAGGAACACCAGUGGCGAAGGCGACCACCCGGACUGAUACUGACACUGAGGUGCGAAAGCGUGGGGAGCAAACAGGAUUAGAUAUCCUGGUAGUCCACGCCGUAAACGAUGUCGACUAGCCGUUGGGAUCCUUGAGAUCUUAGUG
rnacentral:rRNA from 1 species